rnacentral:rRNA from 1 species
AGAGUUUGAUCCUGGCUCAGAUUGAACGCUGGCGGCAGGCCUAACACAUGCAAGUCGAGCGGUAGAGAGAAGCUUGCUUUUCUUGAGAGCGGCGGACGGGUGAGUAAUGCCUAGGAAUCUGCCUGGUAGUGGGGGAUAACGUUCGGAAACGGACGCUAAUACCGCAUACGUCCUACGGGAGAAAGCAGGGGACCUUCGGGCCUUGCGCUAUCAGAUGAGCCUAGGUCGGAUUAGCUAGUUGGUGAGGUAAUGGCUCACCAAGGCGACGAUCCGUAACUGGUCUGAGAGGAUGAUCAGUCACACUGGAACUGAGACACGGUCCAGACUCCUACGGGAGGCAGCAGUGGGGAAUAUUGGACAAUGGGCGAAAGCCUGAUCCAGCCAUGCCGCGUGUGUGAAGAAGGUCUUCGGAUUGUAAAGCACUUUAAGUUGGGAGGAAGGGCAGUAAAUUAAUACUUUGCUGUUUUGACGUUACCGACAGAAUAAGCACCGGCUAACUCUGUGCCAGCAGCCGCGGUAAUACAGAGGGUGCAAGCGUUAAUCGGAAUUACUGGGCGUAAAGCGCGCGUAGGUGGUUUGUUAAGUUGGAUGUGAAAUCCCCGGGCUCAACCUGGGAACUGCAUUCAAAACUGACUGACUAGAGUAUGGUAGAGGGUGGUGGAAUUUCCUGUGUAGCGGUGAAAUGCGUAGAUAUAGGAAGGAACACCAGUGGCGAAGGCGACCACCUGGACUAAUACUGACACUGAGGUGCGAAAGCGUGGGGAGCAAACAGGAUUAGAUACCCUGGUAGUCCACGCCGUAAACGAUGUCAACUAGCCGUUGGAAGCCUUGAGCUUUUAGUGGCGCAGCUAACGCAUUAAGUUGACCGCCUGGGGAGUACGGCCGCAAGGUUAAAACUCAAAUGAAUUGACGGGGGCCCGCACAAGCGGUGGAGCGUGUGGUUUAAUUCGAAGCAACGCGAAGAACCUUACCAGGCCUUGACAUCCAAUGAACUUUCUAGAGAUAGAUUGGUGCCUUCGGGAACAUUGAGACAGGUGCUGCAUGGCUGUCGUCAGCUCGUGUCGUGAGAUGUUGGGUUAAGUCCCGUAACGAGCGCAACCCUUGUCCUUAGUUACCAGCACGUCAUGGUGGGCACUCUAAGGAGACUGCCGGUGACAAACCGGAGGAAGGUGGGGAUGACGUCGAGUCAUCAUGGCCCUUACGGCCUGGGCUACACACGUGCUACAAUGGUCGGUACAGAGGGUUGCCAAGCCGCGAGGUGGAGCUAAUCCCACAAAACCGAUCGUAGUCCGGAUCGCAGUCUGCAACUCGACUGCGUGAAGUCGGAAUCGCUAGUAACCGCGAAUCAGAAUGUCGCGGUGAAUACGUUCCCGGGCC